GCAGCGGCAGAACGCCGCGCUGUCCGCGCUCCGCCCGGGGCUGCCGGCCCCCGGGAUGGGAUUGAGCCGGGCGGGCCCGGCACGGAGCUGCGGGGUCCAGCCCGGGAAGGUGAGCUGCGGACCGGGCGGCCCUGAGGACGCUUAGCCCCGGGGGCUCUUCGCUGAGGCCGGAGUAGAGUUAAAGCUCAAAGGACGGAGCAGUUUGUUGGGCGGAGACCCUCGGGACAACUCUCCAACUCCCCCGAACUUUCCCUGGAUUUUUUGUUGUUGUUUGUUGGGGUUGUGGGUUUUUGUUUGAUUUUUGGUUUUGUUUGCUUAAAAAAUAUUGAUACACAUGAGGUGGUUAUUAUUCCGUGCUGAGACCUGCACCUAAAAGCGUGGUUGAUGUAAAGAGGUCACCUGGCCUGUGUGAAGCCGUGCUGCAUGGAGCGAAUUUCACUGGGAUGAGCGUGACUCUUUCAGGGUGGAGCCCUUUCGAGGGAAUGAAUGACACUUCAGCUUUAAAAAUGUGUUCUGGCUGUACCCAGACUAGACUCUUGGGUUUGCUCAUUCAGUGAAAUGCUCUUCAUUUACUGUUAUAUAUACAUAAGUCCCUUAGGGCAGCAUUGUUUUGGAAGGUUUUUUUUUAACCAUAUGCUCAUCCUUAGGCAGCAGAACUUUGUAAGCUGCAGAACAUUCACAAUUUCAAGGGAAGUUUGUAUGAUGAAAGAAUGCUUAGUACCACCAGAAAAAAUAUGAACGAAGGCAUUUCCUUGGCAAAUCAUUAUCAUGAUUGUGAAUAUGCCUGCUUUCCAAUAUUAUUAUAUUAAAGCAGUAUAUUCAGGAAACUAAUGAUAGUCAAACAGUGAGACUGCCUGCUGCUUUCUGUUUGUGGGUUGUUUAAAGUGGCUCAAAACAAGAAAGUCUAAAAACCCAUCCCAUUUAUUUCAUUUUAAAAAGGUUUAAAUAUGUGCUUUGCACUAAUACUUGGAAAUUAACAGCAUUUAACAUUGAGAGCGACCUUAUAAUUGGAGUUGGAGGCUAGAGGGUGGGAGACACAUCCCCUUUCCCCACCUUGUAUGAAGAUUUUAGGCAUGUAAGAAACUUGCUGAAUAAAAUUUGCUGAAACAAAAUUCACCAGAUAGCUUCACUUUACUUGUCUAUAUUACGAAAGACUAAAACUAGUUUGUAGAGAAACCAUUUUUAAGACAGUCAGAUCAGCAUGUUUCACAUGUCAGAGAGGACACAAGAAGAAUCAUUAUUCUUGAUUCUAGUCUAGAAAUGGAACUACUCUAAUUUGUAUCAGAUGAGGAUGUCUCCCUCUCGCCACAUGUUCCUUUUGGAUAGAUCUUUGAGUGCUGUCAGAAUUUCAGGCGUGUGCAAUUGGGACUGGUGGUGUUUGUUUGUUUUGUGUAACGUCCCACUGGAUGUCUUCAAAGGAACCCAAGGUCAUUCAAGUCAUAAGAACAUGCUUGAGGAACUUUGUAAGUGCUGUCACUUCUGCUUGUCUGUAGUACUUGUGCUGUGUAAGUGUACUGCUAGUCUGUAGCCUUUUUUACUGAGGGCUGUAUUGUAUUUUGGCCUACCUUAACUUCAAGGAAACACCUGGCAUCUGUUGUUGGGUAGAUAUUGGCACCUUUGUUGGAACAGUACCCAGCAGAACACUAGAGUACUGUUUAUGCUUCACAUGAAUCUGUGGUAGAAGUUCUAUUAUAUUCACCUGAUGUCAUCACCACUUAAUUAUAGAGGCGUCACAAGAAGCAUGAAUAAACCAAAUAGAGAGUUAAGCUUGGUCUAAGCUGGAUAAAUGCAAUUACAUGGUGAUUACAACAGUCAUCCUCACUUCACAGUAAAAAAACAAACAAGAAUAUCCUGUCAUGCUGUUGGAGCCAUAUUCUCUUAAAAGCUCUCAUUUAAUUUCCUUUUUUUUUCUAUCAGAACACUCAAAAUGCAAUAAAUCUUUUGAUAUUAAAGCAUCAGUUGUCCUCUAUGUACCCAGCUGUUGAAGUGGAAUAGUGUAAUAUGCUUGUAAACACUCUGAUCCUUCUGCUUUCUUUGAAUGCAUACUGUAGAAUUCUAAAAUGACCUCAUUGUGCUCUUCAGAAUCUUCAUGAGGGGAAGUGGAGGGGCAGAGGGCAGGUACUGAUCUCUUCACUCUCAUCAGGAAUCAAGGAAACCACGUGAAUCUGAGUCGGAAGAGUUUUAGGCUGUAUCGCAGGAAAAGAUUUUUCCUUCAGAUGGUGGUUGGCCGCUGGAACAGGCUCCCCAGGGAAGUGGUCACAGCACCAAGCUCAAGAAGCAUUUGGACAAUGCUUUCAGGUACAUGGCCUGACUCUUGAGGUGUCCUGUGCAAGGGAGUUGGACUCAGUGUAUCUGAUGGGUCUCUUGUGUAUUCUAUAAUUCUAUUCUAUAAUUCUAUGAUAAAUUUUCAUUGGCAGUUUAACAAUUGUAGGUAUGUCACUGCAAUUGCAGCCUACACAAACUUGUCCUUAGUCACACAUUACAACUUCUAAGAGAGGAGUGGGUUUUCAUAGGAACCCUAGUGCCUUAUUCAUAGAAGUCAGAUGUCUUCUGUGUUGCUUCUGAAGGAAACAGGGCAAACACCACUUAGCCAGAGUUCCUCAAAAUUGACUUUUUGUUUUUAUUCCUGUAGAAGAAAAACAGCUGGAGCAAAGGAGAUUUCAGUCAAGAGGAAGGAUUAUCAUCCUGAAGACUAAGUGACAUUCUGAAUUUUCAUUUACUAUGUGCAUUUCCUUUGAGUGAUAUUUACCAUCUGAUGAAGAUCUAUGGAAUCUAGGUUCCCUCUAUUAGCAGAUUUAAAAAUUCUAAAUUUUCAAAUUGUAAAAGUCACAAACUAUGACCCACUUGUACCCCAUUCAUUUCAUCUGGGAAAAGAGCCAAGUCCUGUUUAGCGAGGGGUGAAAUGUGCUGCAUUAACAUAUGUUCAAAGUGUUUAUGAACUGCACAGCCAAUAUAACCAGCAGAUUUGGUGUUCCCCAAACACUAGGAGAGGGACAAAUUCUCAUUGGAAGAGGAAUAUGCCAGCACUAAGUAUCACCAUGACUUAGCCACUGGAUGCUCAGAUCCCAUAGUUCACUGCCUGUUAAGAUGUGUUUACAAUGUCAGGACCUAAUCAAUUGUUUUUAAUUCCCCAAGCAUUUUCCGCAGUGAGCCUCAUCAGAACAGAAAAUGUGCUGAAAUGGGCCAGCUCUGCGACAAAAUUUAUUCUAUGUUCACACAGCACAGAGGAUAGUGUGGCAAGAGGAGUAAAAGCUUGCAAAACAAGAAUAACUUUAUUGGGGCUCCCAUGCCGUAAGAAAGUGUGGUAUGGGUGCUCCUGCCUCUAACCAUGGCAACAGGUAGUAUUAUACACAGGUGUGUGUGUGAAAUUAUGUUCUGUACCCAUACAGGAAUGCCUGUUACAUCAGUCUGGUAACCAGGCCGCGUUGGCUGAGCUCCCAUCUGCCUCCAGAGUUAACCCACUUUAUUCAUUUAUGAAUGAAAAAAAAGGGUGCAUUCUAGUAUGACGCAGAAAUGUUACAGCAUAUGCUCAAAUAUUAAGCAUGUGUCCAAGAGCUGUUAUAGAUCAACUUUGUUUUCUGAUCCCACACUAGGAUUUUAUUUGCCAAUGUAUAAGCUGUAACUUCAAUGCAUGACAAACACAGAUAAUCAGUUGUUGGCCACAAUCGGCUGCAAAGAUUCUGCUGCAAUGUAGCUGUUUGCUCAGAGCUUUUCCAUGUUCCCCUAUGUGCCCAUGGUAUGGUCUUAUUAGCAUCCUUACUUACUAGAGUACUUGCCUGUACUGCAGGAGGAAGUGUUCCAUAAGAGAUUUUUCUCCUUUCUUCAUGAAAAAAAAUUGUGGACAGUUACUGGAGGAAUCGGGGCUCAAACAUCAUUUACAACGUACGGACUGUCAGGAUGGAUUUAAAGGAGGAAGUUGGGGGGGAAAGAAAAAAAAAGGUAAUUCAUAAUUCUUGCUGAAUAGUAAAGAGAGUGAGGCUGUUCCUUACCAUUUGGGAUUUGGAAAAAAUGCUUCCUAAUAAAAAGUAAUGCAAGGUUUCUGACAUGGAAAAAUCAGACACAGCAGGAAAGCAAAACCAAUCAAAAAAAGUUGGAGGUCUGGGAAAUGAGGCAGCAAGGCUGGUCAUCCAGUUAAAAGAAAAGUUAGCUAGGUUUUAAUUUAUUAAUGGAAUAUAUAGGAAAGCAGUGGGUUGUAGAGUGUGUUCUAGUACAGGAGUAAAAAUGAUUGGCAGAGAACAUAAAAUGGGAACGGCAAGGUAUGACCAAAGAACUAAUUUAAACCUCCAUGUGCUGGAGGGAAGACUCCAAGUGUGGCAGUCAUGAAUAUCUCAUCUAGGCUUGCAGAUCUGUGCCCUGAUGGAAAGCCAGAGCAGCCUUACAUGCAGGUAGGGGCUAGAAGUGAAGAUAAAUGAUAGGAGGAGAAGGAAUGAAUAAUGGUUCUGUUCCAGACCUAAUAUUCAUUUCUCUGCUUUUCCUUCUUUUCAAAUUCUGUUGCUUUUUGUCUUGUUUUAGAUGUUGAACAGCCUGGGGAGAGUGAGGUGCAGAGUUUCUAGUGUAUUCUAAUGGACUCUGUAACGUGUGGCCACUAAUUCUCUGAGUGCUCAGCUUCAUUCCAUACCUGUAUCACUGUAAGCUACCAUGAAAAAAAAAUUGCUCCUUUGCUCCUCUGUUACUUUGUUGUUUAUAGGCUAAAGGAGAUGGGAGUUUCCAGCUCUGCACCGUACUUUCUAGGAUAUCAGCUGAUGUGAUUAUUAAGUAUCAGGAUUUUUGCCUAUUUUCAUGGUCUUCAGCUAUAGAGGAAAUCCACACAAAUAUGUUGGUGGAACUGUUUUCUCAGAGAACAUAUAAAUUUGGGAACAUUGAGCAUGAAGUAUUUACAGGAGUGUAUUGGCUUGGACAAGGUUUUACUGUGUUCCCCUGGUUACUUCACAAGAGCCUCAAACCCACCUUCAGAGUGAUCCAGCUGAUUUCGGAGGAUCCGGAGAUUACAUCACCUCUGCUUUGCCAGCUCUGAUUGUAAUGCAUGUAGUAGCUGGCUAUUGAUGGAUUAAACUGAGCAUCAUGUUGGUUGUGGCAAAGGGCCAAGGCAUGUGAUGCCACAGCAGCACAAAGUGGUAUGAUGAAAAAGUCUCAGGGAAGUUUGUGAAGAAAGGAAACCUGUCCAGGAGGUAUUUAUUCUCAGCUAACCAUAAGGAAAAAAAUUAUCACUGCUUUUGUAGUCCUUUAUCUUUCACUGUAUUUUAUACU